GUGGGCAGGGGAACCAUCGGAGGGGAGGAUGGUGUGCGAAAAAUGUGAAAAGAAACUUGGUACUGUUACCACUCCAGAUACAUGGAAAGAUGGUGCUAGGAAUAUCACAGAAAGUGGUGGGAGAAAGCUGAAUGAAAAUAAAGCUUUGACUUCAAAAAAAGCAGGAUUUGAUCCAUAUGGAAAGAAUAAGUUCUCCACUUGCAGAAUUUGUAAAAGUUCUGUGCACCAACCAGGUUCUCAUCACUGCCAGGGCUGUGCUUACAAAAAAGGCAUCUGUGCGACGUGUGGAAAAAAGGUUCUGGAUACCAAAAACUACAGACAAACAUCUGUCUGGAUGUAUUGAUGGGAUUCCUGGCUUUCUAAAUGAUUUUACUUUCUGCCUUGAAUUUUCAAGGCAUAGAUGUCAAUUUACAGAAUAACCUGUUUUAAGACAAUACAGUUUAAACCAGAGAAUUUGAUUGUUACUCAUUUUGCUCUCAUGUUCUAAACAGCAACAGUGUAACUAGUCUUUUGCUGUAAAUGGUUAUUUUCUUUACAAUCAUUUUAUUGAACUAAGUGGCAAAUUCCAUGAAAUUAUUUCUCAGUUCUGUAUGCACUUUUAUUUAAUAUUAUUCGUAUAAUUCUCCCCCCCCACUUUAUUUAUAGAUACUGCAAAAGUGAGAAGGAGAUAAUAGAUACUUUGCUCUGAAUUUGGCAUCCCGAGUUAACAGUUCUCCCCUCACUUCUUUACUGGUGUCACAGUUAUUAAAAUCAACAGCCUUUUAACUAAUUGCAGUUUCAUAGGAUAUAUAAAUGUUUCAAGCCAUUAUUGCUGAAUGGUUCUUGAGUUAUUAACCUAGACCCAAAUCAAAGACCAGUUGGAUUUAUGAUGUUUUUUAUUUGUUCCUGCAGCCAAAGUGCCAGUUCCGUUAAUAUGUGACCAAGAACACAAGGAACAUCCAUAUGUCCAAAUAAAUACACUGAAUUUUAG